GCGAUCGUAGCUCAGUGGUAGAGCAGAGGUUUGUGGAUCCUCUGGCCGCGGGUUCAAUUCCCGUCGAUCGCCCCA
rnacentral:tRNA from 1 species